ensembl:lncRNA
AGGAAGGUAAGGUAACAAAAGCUUCGUAAUCAAUAUGACAUAAUGAAAUAAAUGUAAUUUAUUAUUUUUAAAUAAUGUUUUUUAUGAAUAAUAUUCCCUUGCAUCAUUUUACCUGUAGAUUAAUUUGUGCAUAAUUAUUUUGUGUAUAUUGUCUAUUGUGUAUAUAUUUGUUAUAGCGCGAGUAAAUGAACAUUUUCGCGCGCAGACGUGUUUGGCUUCUCUUAACAAAUAAUUUUCCACGACCGGUGUACUGGGCCAAUCAGAAUUUAGCUAGGACAUCUAUGGCCCCACCCCUAGCUCCGCCUAUGCUAAUCGGUACAGUGUUGCGGUCUGUGAAGGGCGGUAGAGUUAUUAACCAGCAGUUAUUAAUCACCCAUCAUAAUUCCAGACGAUGACUGAGGAACAACAACCAACAUUUAUCCAGUUAACUCCCACUAGUGUUGCAUUAGACGCCCUGGCUGUUCCAGACAAAAUCAUUCGGAGCUCGAGGCCAUACUGACGUUUUGCUAAUUAAUAACGGCGGGCACGCGCUCCUUCAUUUAAAACAAUCCAUAUUCAUCAAACAUUAAAAACGAAGAUGGCGCUCUGUCAAUGCCACAUGGGAGCCGUGGCUCUGCUCUCGUAUGCAAAACUGUCUCUCAGCUUCCUCUGGGUCUUUGCGAAGAAGGAAUCCCGUUCACCCCGCAGCCUUGUGACUGCUAUCCAGAUGGACUCAUUACAAUCAUCUCUCCACAGCUGCAAGGCCAGGCUUGUGCAGAUCAAAGGAAGGGCCUGAUGGAGAAUUGCCAUAUGACCAAUCGAU